rnacentral:rRNA from 2 species
AGACCCGAAACCCGGUGAUCUAGCCAUGGGCAGGUUGAAGGUUGGGUAACACUAACUGGAGGACCGAACCGACUAAUGUUGAAAAAUUAGCGGAUGACCUGUGGCUGGGGGUGAAAGGCCAAUCAAACCGGGAGAUAGCUGGUUCUCCCCGAAAGCUAUUUAGGUAGCGCCUCGUGAAUUCAUCUCCGGGGGUAGAGCACUGUUUCGGCUAGGGGGCCAUCCCGGCUUACCAACCCGAUGCAAACUGCGAAUACCGGAGAAUGUUAUCACGGGAGACACACGGCGGGUGCUAACGUCCGUCGUGAAGAGGGAAACAACCCAGACCGCCAGCUAAGGUCCCAAAGUCAUGGUUAAGUGGGAAACGAUGUGGGAAGGCCCAGACAGCCAGGAUGUUGGCUUAGAAGCAGCCAUCAUUUAAAGAAAGCGUAAUAGCUCACUGGUCGAGUCGGCCUGCGCGGAAGAUGUAACGGGGCUAAACCAUGCACCGAAGCUGCGGCAGCGACGCUUAUGCGUUGUUGGGUAGGGGAGCGUUCUGUAAGCCUGCGAAGGUGGCCUGUGAGGGUUGCUGGAGGUAUCAGAAGUGCGAAUGCU